AUUGAACGCUGGCGGCAGGCCUAACACAUGCAAGUCGAGCGGAUGAAGAGAGCUUGCUCUCUGAUUCAGCGGCGGACGGGUGAGUAAUGCCUAGGAAUCUGCCUGAUAGUGGGGGACAACGUUUCGAAAGGAACGCUAAUACCGCAUACGUCCUACGGGAGAAAGCAGGGGACCUUCGGGCCUUGCGCUAUCAGAUGAGCCUAGGUCGGAUUAGCUAGUCGGUGAGGUAAUGGCUCACCAAGGCGACGAUCCGUAACUGGUCUGAGAGGAUGAUCAGUCACACUGGAACUGAGACACGGUCCAGACUCCUACGGGAGGCAGCAGUGGGGAAUAUUGGACAAUGGGCGAAAGCCUGAUCCAGCCAUGCCGCGUGUGUGAAGAAGGUCUUCGGAUUGUAAAGCACUUUAAGUUGGGAGGAAGGGCAUUAACCUAAUACGUUAGUGUUUUGACGUUACCGACAGAAUAAGCACCGGCUAACUUCGUGCC
rnacentral:rRNA from 1 species